UAUAACAAUAAAAUGAGCUUGCAGAAAUGAAAUUCUACCAUUUUUUACCAACUUUCCUCAAAAUUAUUGUUUUCUUGGUCAAAAUUAUCGAAAAUCAGUCGUGUAUAUCUAAUUUGCAGCUCUGUGAGUUGACCUUGCCGUUAAAUCAAAUUAAUCAUGCAGUAAUUGCGACCAGAUCUGGUUUAAGCCAAUCGGAGUGUCUUCAGAAAAUGGAGACAUUUGAUUGGUCAGCUGGUGUUUACUGCAAAAACAGUCAGUUUUGCGGCCUGGGCUUAGAUCUGGACCCAAAUUACAAAAAAAUGAAGAUUCUUGGAAAAAUUGAGCCUGUGUCAGAGCUUUGUAAAGUGUUCCUAUCACGUGACACAUUCCAUUGUAGCGAUUUUAAGAAUAAACUCAUCGAAAUCGGAAUAUUGAGACAAAGCCACUGGAACUGUCUCGGACAAGGACAUGAAUAUUGUCGGCGAGAACGGAUGACCAAAUGUCAGGACGUGACUGGUGGGUUCCAGUGUCUGGGAUGUCUACAGGGCACUAAACCGGUACGCUCAUUGGACGAAACCAAAUGCGAAGACAUUGACGAAUGCUCAUUGGAAUUAUGUGGGACUCGUGCUUCUGGUUGUAUCAAUACAGUUUUCUCCUAUGAAUGCAGAUGUGACAAUGGGUUUGAGCACAAUUCAGAUAAUUACAACCCUUCCU